rnacentral:rRNA from 1 species
UAGGGAAUAUUGCAAAAUGGGCGAAAGCCCGAUGCAGCAACGCCGCGUGGGCGAUGAAGGCCUUCGGGUCGUAAAGCCCUUUUUGAGGGGAUGAGGAAGGACAGUACCCUCAGAAUAAGCCUCGGCUAACUACGUGCCAGCAGCCGCGGUAAAACGUAGGAGGCGAGCGUUAUUCGGAUUUACUGGGCGUAAAGCGCGUGCAGGCGGAUUGGAGAGUUGGAUGUGAAAGCUCCCGGCUUAACUGGGAGAGGUCGUUCAAUACUUCCAGUCUUGAGUGCAGUAGAGGGAAGUGGAAUUCCGGGUGUAGUGGUGAAAUGCGUAGAUAUCCGGAGGAACACCAGUGGCGAAAGCGGCUUCCUGGACUGUAACUGACGCUCAGACGCGAAAGCUAGGGUAGCAAACG